UACGAGAGGCCCAAACGUUAUUCGGAAUUACUGGGCUUAAAGAGUCCGUAGGCGGCGCGGAAAGUGGGGUGUGAAAUCCCUCGGCUUAACCGAGGAAUUGCGCUCCAAACUGCCGUGCUUGAGGAACCUAGAGGUGAGCAGAACUGAUGGUGGAGCGGUGAAAUGCGUUGAUAUCAUCAGGAAUACCGGAGGCGAAGGCGGCUCACUGGGGGUUUUCUGACGCUGAGGGACGAAAGCCAGGGUAGCGAACGGG
rnacentral:rRNA from 1 species